UAAUCUGCGAUAAGCGCCGGUAAGGUGAUAUGAACCGUUAUAACCGGCGAUACCCGAAUGGGGAAACCCAGUGUGAUUCGUCACACUAUCAUUAACUGAAUCCAUAGGUUAAUGAGGCGAACCGGGGGAACUGAAACAUCUAAGUACCCCGAGGAAAAGAAAUCAACCGAGAUUCCCCCAGUAGCGGCGAGCGAACGGGGAGGAGCCCAGAGCCUGAAUCAGCAUGUGUGUUAGUGGAAGCGUCUGGAAAGGCGCGCGAUACAGGGUGACAGCCCCGUACACAAAAGCGCAUGUGCUGUGAGCUCGAUGAGUAGGGCGGGACACGUGGUAUCCUGUCUGAAUAUGGGGGGACCAUCCUCCAAGGCUAAAUACUCCUGACUGACCGAUAGUGAACCAGUACCGUGAGGGAAAGGCGAAAAGAACCCCGGCGAGGGGAGUGAAAAAGAACCUGAAACCGUGUACGUACAAGCAGUGGGAGCACAGGUUUACCUGUGUGACUGCGUACCUUUUGUAUAAUGGGUCAGCGACUUAUAUUCUGUAGCAAGGUUAACCGAAUAGGGGAGCCGGAGGGAAACCGAGUCUUAAUUGGGCGUUAAGUUGCAGGGUAUAGACCCGAAACCCGGUGAUCUAGCCAUGGGCAGGUUGAAGGUUGGGUAACACUAACUGGAGGACCGAACCGACUAAUGUUGAAAAAUUAGCGGAUGACCUGUGGCUGGGGGUGAAAGGCCAAUCAAACCGGGAGAUAGCUGGUUCUCCCCGAAAGCUAUUUAGGUAGCGCCUCGUGAAUUCAUCUCCGGGGGUAGAGCACUGUUUCGGCUAGGGGGCCAUCCCGGCUUACCAACCCGAUGCAAACUGCGAAUACCGGAGAAUGUUAUCACGGGAGACACACGGCGGGUGCUAACGUCCGUCGUGAAGAGGGAAACAACCCAGACCGCCAGCUAAGGUCCCAAAGUCAUGGUUAAGUGGGAAACGAUGUGGGAAGGCCCAGACAGCCAGGAUGUUGGCUUAGAAGCAGCCAUCAUUUAAAGAAAGCGUAAUAGCUCACUGGUCGAGUCGGCCUGCGCGGAAGAUGUAACGGGGCUAAACCAUGCACCGAAGCUGCGGCAGCGACACUGUGUGUUGUUGGGUAGGGGAGCGUUCUGUAAGCCUGUGAAGGUGUGUCGUGAGGC
rnacentral:rRNA from 1 species